CCUUUCGUCUUUCCUGGUUUCUUCACUCCGACCUCACCACUGCUUUAGAUUCUCCCUUCAGUUCCCCUCAGACGCUUCCAGACUCCCAAGCUUUCCUAGGAAUGAGGGAAAAUGGAGAAACAGGCACGUAUCAGGGAACCCUCACCCUAAUAAAGAGCACUUGCUGCGCCAGAACAUCUAACUUCAUGCCAUGUGGGCAUCCCUGGGCACUAUAGCAAGCUAGUUUCGGCCACUCCCUUGGCAUCCUUUCCUGCCAGCUGUGGAAUAAUGCCCACUGUCUAGCACUGCCCCUGCCAGAGGUUCUUGCCUUCCACAAUCGUGGCUUCCAGAAAACAGUAGCAUUCGGUAGUGCUGUGUGCGGAGACCCCCAACAAUGUGAUGACUGCGGAGAGGGAGGCACCUGGGGGAGGAUCAUUAGGGAGAGGUAGAAGGCAGGGAGGCCUCCAGGAUUCUUUCCCAGUGCCCCUGGUUCCCAGAGCUGAUGAUGCCUCCAGGGUGAUUGGCAGCUCUUUGUUUCAGCCCCCCCUCACCCGCCUGCUGGCCCCCCCUCCAACUCUGUCCCUCCGCCCCCCGGCUCCUGCUCUCUCCGCCUAGCCUUUUCCCCUCCCAGCUGCCUGCCUGCCAGGGGUAGUGAGCCGGCUGAAAGGCAUGGAGACGCAGGAACUUCGGGGGGCCCUGGCUCUUCUCCUCCUUUGCUCUUUCGCAUCUGCCAGUCAGGACCUGCAGGGUAAGCCUGUCUCCAUCCUCUUAGACCGCUCUCUGUGUCUUCCCCAUUUUCCCUCAACCCAAGUAGCAGAGAGCAUGUGGGCAAAGGGAGAGGGAAGAGUCUAGAAAUUGAGCCAGAGGAAAACGUUAGACUGCCUAGGGUUCGUGAAAUUAUGGCCUGGUGGACAGGAGUGGGCACCACAGAGUAGUGGGGGAGUUGGAACGGGCCAGGGUCAGGCAUGAGGCCAGGGCAGAGGACUCAGGAACUGGAUGCUCAGGCUGCCUGGCUGGGGUGGUUCCUGAGCAUCUGUAGGCACCCUGGGGUCUGGGAGAGCAGCCUGAAGGUGGGCAUACUGUAGGUCCCUGGGCUUCGUCCCUCUGGGCUCUUGGCUGCCCAAGGAUAGGGCGGGGGUGGGGACCAAGAAGCCUGGGCUCUCCCGGAGGUCUGGUGGUGGGAUGGGCCAAUGGAUGUGGGAGAGGUAGCUGGAGCAGAUGACACAGGCAUAGAUUCUUUACUGGCUGGAGGGAAAACCACAGAUUGGCCAGGACACAGGAGGCAGAGGAGCUGGGUCCUACAUUCCGGUGGGAGAUAGCCCAGAUGGUGGGAGGGUCAGAGCCCUCAGUGGGCAACUGUUCUUAUCCAGAGCGAGUGUGCUGUGCCCCUAGGAUGGAAGGAGGGGAACUAGGGUGUGGAACGAGCCAAAUCCAGGAAUGGAAAGAGAAACUGCCUCCCGUUUCUGCGUUGUGGGAACCAGUAAUUGACCUGCUGACUGUGGGCGAGUCUCGGCAGAUGGUAGCUGUGGCAGAGAAGAUCCGGACAGCCCUGCUCACUGCUGGGGACAUCUACCUCUUGUCCACCUUCCGCCUGCCCCCCAAGCAGGGUGGUGUCCUCUUUGGCCUCUAUUCUCGCCAAGACAACACGCGAUGGCUGGAGGCCUCUGUUGUAGGCAAGAUCAACAAAGUACUGGUGCGAUACCAGCGGGAGGAUGGCAAAGUCCACGCCGUGAACCUACAGCAAGCAGGCCUGGCCGAUGGUCGCACACACACAGUUCUCCUGCGACUCCGAGGUCCCUCCAGACCCAGCCCUGCUCUGCAUCUCUAUGUGGACUGCAAACUGGGUGACCAACAUGCAGGCCUUCCAGCACUGGCCCCCAUUCCUCCAGCAGAGGUCGAUGGGCUGGAGAUUAGGACUGGACAGAAGGCAUAUUUGAGGAUGCAGGGCUUUGUGGAAUCUAUGAAAAUUAUUCUGGGUGGGUCCAUGGCCCGGGUAGGAGCCCUGAGUGAGUGUCCAUUCCAAGGGGACGAGUCCAUCCACAGUGCAGUGACCAAUGCACUGCACUCCAUUCUAGGGGAGCAGACCAAGGCGCUGGUCACCCAACUCACCCUCUUCAACCAGAUCCUGGUGGAGCUGCGGGAUGAUAUACGAGACCAGGUGAAGGAAAUGUCCCUGAUCCGAAACACCAUUAUGGAGUGUCAGGUGUGCGGCUUCCAUGAGCAGCGUUCCCACUGCAGCCCCAAUCCCUGCUUCCGAGGCGUGGACUGCAUGGAAGUGUACGAGUACCCAGGCUACCGCUGUGGGCCCUGUCCCCCCGGCCUACAGGGCAACGGCACCCACUGCAGUGACAUCAAUGAGUGUGUUCACGCCGACCCCUGUUUCCCGGGCUCCAGCUGCAUCAACACCAUGCCCGGCUUCCACUGUGAGGCCUGUCCUCGAGGGUACAAGGGCACACAGGUGUCUGGUGUGGGCAUUGACUAUGCCCGGGCCAGCAAACAGGUCUGCAAUGACAUCGAUGAAUGCAACGAUGGCAACAAUGGUGGCUGUGACCCAAACUCCAUCUGCACCAACACUGUGGGCUCUUUCAAGUGUGGUCCCUGCCGCCUGGGUUUCCUGGGCAACCAGAGCCAGGGCUGCCUCCCAGCCCGGACCUGCCACAGCCCAGCCCACAGUCCCUGCCACGUCCAUGCUCAUUGUCUCUUUGAACGCAAUGGUGCAGUAUCCUGCCAGUGUAACGUGGGCUGGGCUGGGAAUGGGAACGUAUGUGGGACUGACACAGACAUCGAUGGCUAUCCAGACCAAGCACUGCCCUGCAUGGACAACAACAAACACUGCAAACAGGACAACUGCCUUUUGACACCCAACUCUGGGCAGGAAGAUGCUGAUAAUGAUGGUGUGGGGGACCAGUGUGAUGACGAUGCUGAUGGGGAUGGGAUCAAGAAUGUUGAGGACAACUGCCGGCUGUUCCCCAACAAAGACCAACAGAACUCAGAUACAGAUUCAUUUGGUGAUGCCUGUGACAAUUGCCCCAACGUUCCCAACAAUGACCAGAAGGACACAGAUGGCAAUGGGGAAGGAGAUGCCUGUGACAACGACGUGGAUGGGGAUGGCAUCCCCAAUGGAUUGGACAAUUGCCCUAAAGUCCCCAACCCACUACAGACAGACAGGGAUGAGGACGGGGUGGGAGAUGCUUGCGACAGCUGUCCUGAAAUGAGCAAUCCUACCCAGACAGAUGUAGACAGCGACUUGGUGGGGGAUGUCUGUGAUACCAAUGAAGACAGUGAUGGGGAUGGGCAUCAGGACACCAAGGACAACUGCCCACAGCUGCCAAAUAGCUCCCAGCUGGACUCAGACAACGAUGGACUUGGAGAUGAGUGUGAUGGGGAUGAUGACAAUGAUGGCAUCCCAGAUUACGUGCCUCCUGGUCCUGAUAACUGCCGCCUGGUACCCAAUCCCAAUCAGAAGGACUCAGAUGGCAAUGGCGUUGGUGAUGUGUGUGAGGAUGACUUUGACAAUGAUGCUGUGGUCGACCCCCUGGAUGUGUGUCCCGAAAGUGCAGAGGUAACGCUUACGGAUUUUCGGGCCUAUCAGACCGUCGUCCUGGAUCCUGAGGGUGAUGCUCAGAUUGACCCAAACUGGGUUGUGCUCAACCAGCUUUUUCUUUACUAUACAACCCCAGGGCAUGGAAAUCGUUCAGACCAUGAACAGUGACCCUGGCUUGGCAGUUGGAUACACGGCCUUCAAUGGUGUGGACUUUGAAGGCACCUUCCAUGUGAACACAGUGACUGACGAUGACUACGCAGGCUUUCUCUUCAGUUAUCAAGACAGUGGCCGAUUCUACGUAGUCAUGUGGAAGCAGACUGAGCAGACCUACUGGCAGGCUACACCCUUUCGGGCGGUUGCCCAGCCCGGGCUGCAGCUCAAGGCAGUGACAUCAGUGUCUGGCCCAGGUGAGCACCUCCGAAAUGCCCUGUGGCAUACUGGCCACACCCCUGAUCAGGUGCGACUACUGUGGACGGACCCACGAAAUGUGGGCUGGCAGGACAAGACCUCCUAUCGCUGGCAGCUUCUGCACCGGCCUCAAGUUGGCUACAUUCGGGUGAAGCUCUAUGAGGGACCCCAGCUUGUGGCGGAUUCUGGGGUGAUUAUUGACACAUCCAUGCGAGGGGGGCGUCUUGGUGUAUUCUGCUUUUCCCAAGAAAACAUCAUUUGGUCCAAUCUCCAGUAUCGAUGCAAUGACACAGUGCCUGAGGACUUUGAGCCAUUCCGGAGGCAGCUGCUCCAGGGAAGGGUGUGAGGAGGAGGCCACCGGAUUCAGAAUUCAGAAUUUUAGACCCUUUGGCCUUGGGAUCCACCCUGGAGACCCUGAGGUCUAAGCUACAGCCCCUCAGCCAACCACAGACCCUUCUCUGGCACCCAAAAGUUCAUUUCCAGAGGGGUGGUCGCCCCACUCUUCAGGGGAUGAGUUUUCAAGGGGUAUUACUCAGGCACUAACCCCAGGAAAGAUGACAGCACAUUGCCAUAAAGUUCUGGUUGUUUUCUAA